GACGAACGCUGGCGGCGUGCUUAACACAUGCAAGUCGAGCGGUAAGGCCCUUUCGGGGGUACACGAGCGGCGAACGGGUGAGUAACACGUGGGUGACCUGCCCUCAGCUCUGGGAUAAGCCUGGGAAACUGGGUCUAAUACUGGAUAUGACUCCACGGUGCAUGCCGUGGGGUGGAAAGCCUUGUGCGGCUGAGGAUGGGCCCGCGGCCUAUCAGCUUGUUGGUGGGGUGANGGCCUACCAAGGCGACGACGGGUAGCCGGCCUGAGAGGGCGACCGGCCACACUGGGACUGAGACACGGCCCAGACUCCUACGGGAGGCAGCAGUGGGGAAUCUUGCGCAAUGGGCGAAAGCCUGACGCAGCGACGCCGCGUGAGGG
rnacentral:rRNA from 1 species